rnacentral:rRNA from 1 species
AUGUGGACUGAUGAUCUGAACAUUACUGUUCAUAGUGCUACCUUCCACUAUAUAUUAGCUAAUAUAGUUCAUCCUGCUUCUGGGGUUCAAUUUUGUUUGAUUUGUAUUUAUGGAGACCUGUACCACAAGCAAACUAGUGCCAUUUGGAGUCAGAUUUCCACUUUUGUCUAUGAUAAUCUGGGUAUGCCCAUGAUGUGUAUGGGUGAUCUUAAUGACAUCUUGUAUGAUACUGAUGGUUGUAAUGGUAAUGUGAAUUACUUUCGUAUGAAUGCUUUUCGCUCCCUUGUUAAAAGUUGUGGUUUUUUGACAUAG